UACGUAGGGGGCAAGCGUUGUCCGGAUUUAUUGGGCGUAAAGAGCGUGUAGGCGGCCAAGCAGGUCAGCUGUGAAAACUCGAGGCUCAACCUCGAGACGUCGGUUGAAACCGCUUGGCUAGAGUCCGGAAGAGGAGAGUGGAAUUCCCGGUGUAGCGGUGAAAUGCGCAGAUAUCGGGAAGAACACCCGUGGCGAAGGCGGCUCUCUGGGACGGUACUGACGCUGAGACGCGAAAGUGUGGGGAGCGAACAGG
rnacentral:rRNA from 1 species